CGCGCGGCGUGAACACGAGGUCUGGCAAAGCCUGUUGGGCAUGAACUACCCUUUGAGACAGUGUACCUCCAGGGAGUCCAGAGUGUCCCUUGUAACAGAGCCA